rnacentral:rRNA from 1 species
CAGUAUUGGAGGCAUUGCCUGCCCAGUGACAACUGUUUAACGGCCGCGGUAUCCUGACCGUGCAAAGGUAGCAUAAUCAUUUGUUCUCUAAAUAAGGACUUGUAUGAAUGGCCGCACGAGGGUUUUACUGUCUCUUACUUCCAAUCAGUGAAAUUGACCUUCCCGUGAAGAGGCGGGAAUGCACAAAUAAGACGAGAAGACCCUAUGGAGCUUUAACUAACCAACCCAAAGAGAAUAAAUUUAACCAUUAAGGAGUAACAACAAUCUCCAUGAGUUGGUAGUUUCGGUUGGGGUGACCUCGGAGAAUAAAAAAUCCUCCGAGCGAUUUUAAAGACUAGACCCACAAGUCAAAUCACUCUAUCGCUCAUUGAUCCAAAAACUUGAUCAACGGAACAAGUUACCCUAGGGAUAACAGCGCAAUCCUAUUCAAGAGUCCAUAUCGACAAUAGGGUUUACGACCUCGAUGUUGGAUCAGGACAUCCUGAUGGUGCAACCGCUAUCAAAGGUUCGUUUGUUCAACGAUUAAAGUCCUAC